rnacentral:rRNA from 1 species
GGGAAUUUGGAUCAAUGGGCGAAAGCCUGAUCCAGCAAUGCCGCGUGUGUGAAGAAGGCCUUCGGGUUGUAAAGCACUUUUGUCCGGAAAGAAAUCCUUGGCUCUAAUACAGUCGGGGGAUGACGGUACCGGAAGAAUAAGCACCGGCUAACUACGUGCCAGCAGCCGCGGUAAUACGUAGGGUGCAAGCGUUAAUCGGAAUUACUGGGCGUAAAGCGUGCGCAGGCGGUUUGCUAAGACCGAUGUGAAAUCCCCGGGCUCAACCUGGGGAACUGCAUUUGGUGACUGGCAGGCUAGAGUAUGGCAGAGGGGGGUAGAAUUCCACGUGUAGCAGUGAAAUGCGUAGAGAUGUGGAGGAAUACCGAUGGCGAAAGGCAGCCCCCUGGGCCAAUACUGACGCUCAUGCACGAAAGCGUGGGGAGCAAAACAGGAUUAGAUACCCUGGUAGUCCACGCCCUAAAACGAUGUCAACUAGUUGUUGGGGAUUCAUUUCCUUAGUAACGUAGCUAACGCGUGAAGUUGACCGCCU